UACGUAGGUGACAAGCGUUGUCCGGAUUUACUGGGCAUAAAGAGCGCGCAGGCGGUCGUUCAAGUCGAGUGUGAAAGCCCCCGGCUCAACUGGGGAGGGUCACUCGAUACUGAUCGACUCGAAGGCAGGAGAGGGAAGUGGAAUUCCCGGUGUAGUGGUGAAAUGCGUAGAUAUCGGGAGGAACACCAGUGGCGAAGGCGACUUCCUGGCCUGUUCUUGACGCUGAGGCGCGAAAGCUAGGGGAGCAAACGGG
rnacentral:rRNA from 1 species